rnacentral:rRNA from 1 species
UUGGAGGGCAAGUCUGGUGCCAGCAGCCGCGGUAAUUCCAGCUCCAAUAGCGUAUAUUAAAGUUGUUGCAGUUAAAAAGCUCGUGGUUGAAUUUCGAGAUCAGUACGCUGGUCGUGCCUUCGGUAUGCACUGGUGUCACUGGUUUCUCCCUUCUGAAGAACCGUCAUGCCAUUCAGUUGGUGUGGCGGGGAAUCGGGACUGUUACUUUGAAAAAAUUAGAGUGUUUAAAGCAGGCUCGCGCUUGAAUACAUUAGCAUGGAAUAAUGAAAUAGGACGUUUGACCCUAUUUUGUUGGUUUCUAGGAUCGACGUAAUGAUUAAUAGGGAUAGUUGGGGGCAUUAGUAUUCAAUUGUCAGAGGUGAAAUUCUUGGAUUUAUUGAAGACUAACUACUGCGAAAGCAUUUGCCAAGGAUGUUUUCAUUAAUCAAGAACGAAAGUUAGGGGAUCGAAGACGAUCAGAUACCGUCGUAGUCUUAACCAUAAACUAUGCCGACUAGGGAUCGGAUGAUGUUAAUUUUUUAAUGACUCAUUCGGCGCCUUACGGGAAAC